UUUUUUUUUUUUUUUUAAGUAAACUCUACCUUCACUAUGGGGCUUUAACUUAUAAGAUCAAGAGUCAUAUGUUCUACUGACCGAGCUAGCCAGGUGCCCAAAACCUAAGCAUCUUUUUAAAGACCUUUGAUGUGCACUGCUAAAUUGCUCCAGAAAAUUUUAUCAGUCUGGUCUGAAAUAGCCUCUUUACCCACACUCUGCCAACAUUGCAUGUUCCUUUUCUAAAGCCUUUGCCACCAGAUUUUGACAAAUAAUAAUAAGGUUUGUUUUCUUAGAUUCUGGUUUCCCAUAGAUGAUGGGCUGAGUCAACACUAACCUGUUUAUCUUUUUGGUUUUGCUAAAUAGGAGUGACCAUGUAUACUGCAUCCUCAGAGAAACCUUCCACUUUUGAAAGAACUAAGUUAAAGAGGAUUAGGAUGGAAAAAGAAAUGGUGGCCUCCGGUAGCCAAUCCACUGAGCCUCUCUCGGUAAAAUUAGAUUGGCUUUAGCGACAAGUUAUGUUAUUCUCACAAUUUUUUAGAACAGUUUAAGUUUUAAGUUUAAACGACAGUCUAGUUGGACAGAACAGCCUCUUAAUUUUUUUCUAGUAACUUUCAACCUUAUUGAUGACGUUAUACCAGAGUACACUGCCUGCUUUAAUAUAUUACUUAGUCCUCACACCAAACCUAUGAUGUAGCUUCUAUUAUUGGCCCCAUUUUUAUAAAACAAGUAGAAAAUUACCCCAGUCAUUCAGUGAAUGGUGUUGAAGGGGCAGCGAGACCCACGUCCCCUGACUACUGUGUAUGAAGCUGCCUCUACUCCGUGGUACUCGUUGUACCACUUCUCUCCAACUCUGUUCCCUUUCCAUCUUUCCACAUUCAUAUCCAUAAUUCAUAUCCAUCCUUUAGGGACAGUGGACCCUAUGAAAAAGAAAUCGGUAGCCAAGAAAAAAAUUACAGUGUGUAUUUGAAGUCUCCACACCAACGCCUAGCUCUGCAGCGUGUGGGUAAGUUCCUACUGUACCGUUACCAAAUGGUCAUUGGCAUUUGUGUGUGUUUGGAGAAACUUUAGUUGAAGUCAAAUCCUUAUUAGGUUAAGUACAAAGAAAUUAGGCUUUCUAGCUAAAAAAUAGCUGCUUACUCUGGAUGAAAGAUUAUUUACAAUAAAACAAUAACUAUCAAAAUCAUCAUUUGUUUAACCACAGUCAUAGAUCCAGAUGAAUUUUUAGUGGCACUUUUCAGGAUUGAGUGAGUUGAGACAGAGUGUCAUCAUAUAAGGUAAGAUAAACUAUCAGGCUUUCUCUGAAACAAAGAAGAGAGCAGUCUUCAUCCUAUGGUGUGGUCUUUCUGGAGUUGUACUUAGAUUUACCGGAAGACCUAACUACUCAGAGACAUUGGUGUUCUCCGAGGGUCUGUAUUGGCCUUUUCACCAUGUACAUUUUAGGUAGAAGGAAGGUUAAGUGUUUGAGAAUAUAGACUUGGGUGUCAAACCUGCCUUUGAAGAUUAGCUUUGCCACUUCCUAGUUUUUUAACCUGGCGCAAAUUAUUUCAGUUUAGUUAAGUUACUACUUACUUGUAACAUGAGGAUCAUUUUUCUCUUCAUCAGGUUUUGAUGAAUAAAUGAAUGCUUCACACAGUACGUGCACAUAGAAAGUACACAGUAAUUAAGAACUCUUGCUGCCUGUCGUAUUAAUGACUUCUAAAUCUCUUUCCUGCUUCUCCCUCUGCCUGUGUCUCUGUCUCUCGUGAAUAAAUAAAAUCUUUUUAAAAAAAGCUUCUUGAUGAGGUUUUAGGAUUACCUUUAGGAAAGGUGGAUGUGCAACUGUUCCAUAAUUGGCUUUUUAGUAUUUUUGUUGAAAGAGACUGUGCCCUUCAACUGAUUUUUUUCCUUGUCAUUAUUAUACCUAUUUCUUUGUAAAGUCUUUUUAAUACUUGUAUAAUAUCUGAGAGUUCCCCCUUCUUCACUUAUGUUGAUGCUUCUCCAAGGAAGAAAUAUGUACUUAAUCUUGAAGUUAAAGCUAACCUAAGGUAGCAAAGUAUAUGUUACUAAUGACUGGAAUAGCUAAAAUACUUGUACAUUUUUUCCCCUAUCAUUAAUAUUACAUAUAAGUUAGUGUUUAACAUAAAAGUUGACUGUUAGGGGUUUAUCUUGAGAAAAUUAUGUAAUUCUCUUGAAACCAACAGACUUGAAAAAAUCAGAAUGAGUUUCCAAAAUCUGGUUUAAUUCCAAUCUGGGGAGGAGAGGGCAUUGUGAGAAAUACAUAUGCACAGAAACCUAAUCAAUGCUAGACAAACAACGUAUUAGUUUACAGUAUAAUAGGAUAACCAUAAAUUUGAAGGCUCAAAUUGAGUCCAUUAGCAGUAAAUACAGUUUUCUAUUUGGCUCAAGUGGCUACUGAAUAUCAAGUGAUGCUGAGUUCCUCCAAAGCACCUAAUGACCCCGCAGCCUUGGAAGGAGUUUCACCACAGUCUCAGAAGAAAUCCCAGUCAUGCCUUUAACUCUCUUGGCCCUUGGGAGUCAUCGCUGCCCAAAUACAAAUGCAGGCCAGGGAUUUCUAGUGGCCACAUGUUAUUGCACAGAGAGGUCUGUUCUAAGCCAGACUCUUAGGCUAAGAAGGUGUGAGAUCAGCCCUUAAAUAGUGGUCUAGCAUUAAUGUGGUCUAUCAAAGCAUGUUAGAGAAAUAGCUCCUCAGUGAUUAUGUACCAGCUACUCUAGUUAUCAAACUAACAGAAAAGGCAAUGUGGCAGCUUCACAUUUCACAUGAAAGACUAGCAUUAACUGGGCCUGGUGCUGGCUUCAUUUUCACAUAAAUCUAGUGAUUCUUUUAAUUUAGACCCAGGAAUAAAUGAUUUCAUACCAGUCUUUUCUUCACAUCGGUUUGUGUAGCAUUUAAAUUCUUAUGGGUUAAUGGCUAGGCCAUGAAGGCAAAAAUGUUUAACUCUCCUUUGCCAAAACAGAAACAAUCCCUGUUCUGACUCCUGUCCAGUUU
rnacentral:lncRNA from 1 species